rnacentral:rRNA from 1 species
GACGAACGCUGGCGGCGUGCUUAACACAUGCAAGUCGAACGGAAAGGCCCUGCUUUUGUGGGGUGCUCGAGUGGCGAACGGGUGAGUAACACGUGAGUAACCUGCCCUUGACUUUGGGAUAACUUCAGGAAACUGGGGCUAAUACCGGAUAGGAGCUCCUGCUGCAUGGUGGGGGUUGGAAAGUUUCGGCGGUUGGGGAUGGACUCGCGGCUUAUCAGCUUGUUGGUGGGGUAGUGGCUUACCAAGGCUUUGACGGGUAGCCGGCCUGAGAGGGUGACCGGCCACAUUGGGACUGAGGUACGGCGCAGACGCCUACGGGAGGCAGCAGUGGGGAAUAUUGCACAAUGGGCGGAAGCCUGAUGCAGCAACGCCGCGUGCGGGAUGACGGCCUUCGGGUUGUAAACCGCUUUCGCCUGUGACGAAGCGUGAGUGACGGUAAUGGGUAAAGAAGCACCGGCUAACUACGUG